AAGUCGUAACAAGGUUUCCGUAGGUGAACCUGCGGAAGGAUCAUUAUCAAGAACGUGCUAGCCUUAAUUGGCAGUGGUUAUGUUCAACCCUUUGUGAACCAAAAAACCCUUUAGCUUCGGUAGCUGGGUCGCGGAAACGCUACCUGUCAGCCUGCCGCUAGCACCUUUACAAAAACUUGCUUUAAACAAAUUGUCUGAAUCAAAAAUUUCGAAUGAAAUUAAAACUUUCAACAACGGAUCUCUUGGUUCUC
rnacentral:misc_RNA from 1 species